rnacentral:lncRNA from 1 species
CUCUUUUACGGGCCGCCGAGCAAAGGUCUUUCUUUUCUCUUCUUCAAAACCCACUCUACAAGGAAAUCUUCAGAAACAUUCCAGCAGGCAAGACAAGGGCAUAAAGGCCAGGGGGUCCCCCAGCCUCAGGACAGCAAGUGUGGGGACGUGCCCUACUGCAUGCCCCAUCCCCUGAGCCAGGAACAAAGACCAGAGGUCAAGCCGGCAGCAGUUGAGGAAGAGGGUCAGGCGUGGCUGUGUGUCCCGAAUUGGUGGGUUCUUGGUCUCACUGACUUCAAGAAUGAAGCCGCGGACCCUUGCGGUGAGUGUUACAGUUCUUAAAGGCGGCGUGUCCGGAGUUUGUUCCUUCUGAUGUUCGGAUGUGUUUGGAGUUUCUUCCUUCUGGUGGGUUCGUGGUCUCGCUGGCUCAGGAAAGAAGCUGCAGACCUUCGCGGACAGGAUCACAUAGCACUGAGCAUGGAAUCAAAAUGGAGCAGGAUCUGGACAAUCAAAAGGAA